rnacentral:rRNA from 1 species
UCGCCAUUAGAUGGGCCCGCGUCGGAUUAGCUAGUUGGUGAGGUAAUGGCUCACCAAGGCGACGAUCCGUAGCUGGUCUGAGAGGAUGACCAGCCACACUGGGACUGAGACACGGCCCAG